rnacentral:lncRNA from 1 species
UCUGAAAUACCAAUUUAUUGAAUGUGUCUCUUGCAGUUUUAUCUGCUAAAUCUGGUGGCCCUUUGUGGGCUGUGGGGAGAAUCCUGACUGAGUCACCUGGGCUUCCCACCACGCAAGGGUGUGCACACGUGCUGCCUCCUGAGGAGAAAACUUGUACACGGUGUGUUGGGGGUCCAACUUCACUUCAUGCAGAGACUGUGGAACAGCACCCAGACAAGAGUUCAAAAGGGACUUUUCACUUUUGAAGAGGACACUGUGUGUGUGACCUUGUGGCAUGAUUCUCUGACUCUCCUAAGGGUUCUGUGAGUUACCCAGGAACCUGUGACAAAUCUCUGCAACAACCCAGACUGAUAGUCCUCCAAUGAGUGAGUUACUGAAAUUACCAAGUGGGUCCCACCCAAUGUAAGACCCACACAAAUGCAUCUUUCUUUGUGGCUUUGAACACAGCUCUACCCUCUCCGUGCCUUAGUUUUGCCCUUUCGCUGCUCUAAAGUGGAACCUCCACUUGUAUUGAAGACUUCUACCUGAUUCCUUGGAAUAAAAGUUGCUGAG